rnacentral:rRNA from 1 species
UACGAAGGGUCCGAGCGUUGUCCGGAAUUAUUGGGCGUAAAGAGCUCGUAGGCGGCUUGUCACGUCUGCUGUGAAAUCCCGGGGCUCAACCCCGGGCGUGCAGUGGAUACGGGCUGGCUAGAGGCAGGCAGGGGAGAACGGAAUUCCCGGUGUAGCGGUGAAAUGCGCAGAUAUCGGGAGGAAGACCGGUGGCGAAGGCGGUCUGCUGGGCAGUUUCUGACACUGAGGCGCGACAGCGUGGGGAGCAAACAGG